UUCCGGAGGGGAGGAAGUGGCGGACGGGUGAGUCACACGUGGAUACCUACCCCUCAGUGAGGAAUACCGGCGAGAAAUCGCCGACAAUACCGCAUAGGCUCUCUCGCAAGAGAGAGCAAAGCCGCAAGGCGCUGGGGGAGGGGUCUGCCUCCGAUUAGCUAGCUGGUGGGGUAAUGGCUCACCAGGUCGACGAUCGGUAGCUGGUCUGAGAGGAUGAUCAGCCACACUGGGAUUGAGAACGGCCCAUACUCCUACGGGGGGCAGCAGUGAGGAAUCUUCGGCAAUGGGGGCAACCCUGACCGAGCAACGCCGCGUGCAGGAAGAACGUUUCCGGAUCGUAAACUGCUUUUCUGUGGGACGAGCACGACGGUACCACAGGAAGAAGCCCCGGCUAUCUACGUG
rnacentral:rRNA from 1 species